rnacentral:tRNA from 1 species
GGAGAGUUGGCAGAGUGGUUAAUUGCAAUUGUCUGCUAAACAAUUGUCGUUUAUUCGGCGCAGUGGUUCGAAUCCACUACUCUCCG